ACGCUAGCUACAGGCUUAACACAUGCAAGUCGAGGGGAAACGACAUCGAAAGCUUGCUUUUGAUGGGCGUCGACCGGCGCACGGGUGAGUAACGCGUAUCCAACCUGCCCAUCACUUGGGGAUAACCUUGCGAAAGUAAGACUAAUACCCAAUGACGUCUCUAGAAGACAUCUGAAAGAGAUUAAAGAUUUAUCGGUGAUGGAUGGGGAUGCGUCUGAUUAGCUUGUUGGCGGGGUAACGGCCCACCAAGGCGACGAUCAGUAGGGGUUCUGAGAGGAAGGUCCCCCACAUUGGAACUGAGACACGGUCCAAACUCCUACGGGAGGCAGCAGUGAGGAAUAUUGGUCAAUGGGCGAGAGCCUGAACCAGCCAAGUAGCGUGCAGGAUGACGGCCCUAUGGGUUGUAAACUGCUUUUAUAAGGGAAUAAAGUGAGUCUCGUGAGGCUUUUUGCAUGUACCUUAUGAAUAAGGACCGGCUAAUUCCGUGCCAGCAGCCGCGGUAAUACGGAAGGUCCGGGCGUUAUCCGGAUUUAUUGGGUUUAAAGGGAGCGUAGGCCGGAGAUUAAGCGUGUUGUGAAAUGUAGACGCUCAACGUCUGCACUGCAGCGCGAACUGGUUUCCUUGAGUACGCACAAAGUGGGCGGAAUUCGUGGUGUAGCGGUGAAAUGCUUAGAUAUCACGAAGAACUCCGAUUGCGAAGGCAGCUCACUGGAGCGCAACUGACGCUGAAGCUCGAAAGUGCGGGUAUCGAACAGGAUUAGAUACCCUGGUAGUCCGCACGGUAAACGAUGGAUGCCCGCUGUUGGUCUGAAUAGGUCAGCGGCCAAGCGAAAGCAUUAAGCAUCCCACCUGGGGAGUACGCCGGCAACGGUGAAACUCAAAGGAAUUGACGGA
rnacentral:rRNA from 1 species